AUGAACGCUAGCGACAGGCUUAACACAUGCAAGUCGAGGGGCAGCGGGGGUAGCGAUACCCGCCGGCGACCGGCGCACGGGUGAGUAACGCGUAUGCAACUUGCCUAUCAGAGGGGGAUAACCCGGCGAAAGUCGGACUAAUACCGCAUGAAGCAGGGAUCCCGCAUGGGAAUAUUUGCUAAAGAUUCAUCGCUGAUAGAUAGGCAUGCGUUCCAUUAGGCAGUUGGCGGGGUAACGGCCCACCAAACCGACGAUGGAUAGGGGUUCUGAGAGGAAGGUCCCCCACAUUGGUACUGAGACACGGACCAAACUCCUACGGGAGGCAGCAGUGAGGAAUAUUGGUCAAUGGCCGAGAGGCUGAACCAGCCAAGUCGCGUGAGGGAUGAAGGUUCUAUGGAUCGUAAACCUCUUUUAUAAGGGAAUAAAGUGCGGGACGUGUCCCGUUUUGUAUGUACCUUAUGAAUAAGGAUCGGCUAACUCCGUGCCAGCAGCCGCGGUAAUACGGAGGAUCCGAGCGUUAUCCGGAUUUAUUGGGUUUAAAGGGUGCGUAGGCGGCCUUUUAAGUCAGCGGUGAAAGUCUGUGGCUCAACCAUAGAAUUGCCGUUGAAACUGGGGGGCUUGAGUAUGUUUGAGGCAGGCGGAAUGCGUGGUGUAGCGGUGAAAUGCAUAGAUAUCACGCAGAACCCCGAUUGCGAAGGCAGCCUGCCAAGCCAUGACUGACGCUGAUGCACGAAAGCGUGGGGAUCAAACAGGAUUAGAUACCCUGGUAGUCCACGCAGUAAACGAUGAUCACUAGCUGUUUGCGAUACACAGUAAGCGGCACAGCGAAAGCGUUAAGUGAUCCACCUGGGGAGUACGCCGGCAACGGUGAAACUCAAAGGAAUUGACGGGGGCCCGCACAAGCGGAGGAACAUGUGGUUUAAUUCGAUGAUACGCGAGGAACCUUACCCGGGUUUGAACGCAUUCGGACCGAGGUGGAAACACCUUUUCUAGCAAUAGCCGUUUGCGAGGUGCUGCAUGGUUGUCGUCAGCUCGUGCCGUGAGGUGUCGGCUUAAGUGCCAUAACGAGCGCAACCCCCAUCCGCAGUUGCCAGCAGGUAAAGCUGGGGACUCUGCGGAGACUGCCGGCGCAAGCUGAGAGGAAGGCGGGGAUGACGUCAAAUCAGCACGGCCCUUACAUCCGGGGCGACACACGUGUUACAAUGGCGUGGACAAAGGGAGGCCACCUGGCGACAGGGAGCGAAUCCCCAAACCACGUCUCAGUUCGGAUCGGAGUCUGCAACCCGACUCCGUGAAGCUGGAUUCGCUAGUAAUCGCGCAUCAGCCACGGCGCGGUGAAUACGUUCCCGGGCCUUGUACACACCGCCCGUCAAGCCAUGGGAGCCGGGGGUACCUGAAGUACGUAACCGCAAGGAUCGUCCUAGGGUAAAACUGGUGACUGGGGCU
rnacentral:rRNA from 1 species